rnacentral:rRNA from 1 species
GAUGAACGCUGGCGGCGUGCCUAAUACAUGCAAGUCGAGCGAACGGACGAGAAGCUUGCUUCUCUGAUGUUAGCGGCGGACGGGUGAGUAACACGUGGAUAACCUACCUAUAAGACUGGGAUAACUUCGGGAAACCGGAGCUAAUACCGGAUAAUAUUUUGAGCCGCAUGGUUCAAAAGUGAAAGACGGUCUUGCUGCCACUUAUAGAUGGAUCCGCGCUGCAUUAGCUAGUUGGUAAGGUAACGGCUUACCAAGGCAACGAUGCAUAGCCGACCUGAGAGGGUGAUCGGCCACACUGGAACUGAGACACGGUCCAGACUCCUACGGGAGGCAGCAGUAGGGAAUCUUCCGCAAUGGGCGAAAGCCUGACGGAGCAACGCCGCGUGAGUGAUGAAGGUCUUCGGAUCGUAAAACUCUGUUAUUAGGGAAGAACAUAUGUGUAAGUAACUGUGCACAUCUUGACGGUACCUAAUCAGAAAGCCACGGCUAACUACGUGCCAGCAGCCGCGGUAAUACGUAGGUGGCAAGCGUUAUCCGGAAUUAUUGGGCGUAAAGCGCGCGUAGGCGGUUUUUUAAGUCUGAUGUGAAAGCCCACGGCUCAACCGUGGAGGGUCAUUGGAAACUGGAAAACUUGAGUGCAGAAGAGGAAAGUGGAAUUCCAUGUGUAGCGGUGAAAUGCGCAGAGAUAUGGAGGAACACCAGUGGCGAAGGCGACUUUCUGGUCUGUAACUGACGCUGAUGUGCGAAAGCGUGGGGAUCAAACAGGAUUAGAUACCCUGGUAGUCCACGCCGUAAACGAUGAGUGCUAAGUGUUAGGGGGUUUCCGCCCCUUAGUGCUGCAGCUAACGCAUUAAGCACUCCGCCUGGGGAGUACGACCGCAAGGUUGAAACUCAAAGGAAUUGACGGGGACCCGCACAAGCGGUGGAGCAUGUGGUUUAAUUCGAAGCAACGCGAAGAACCUUACCAAAUCUUGACAUCCUUUGACAACUCUAGAGAUAGAGCCUUCCCCUUCGGGGGACAAAGUGACAGGUGGUGCAUGGUUGUCGUCAGCUCGUGUCGUGAGAUGUUGGGUUAAGUCCCGCAACGAGCGCAACCCUUAAGCUUAGUUGCCAUCAUUAAGUUGGGCACUCUAAGUUGACUGCCGGUGACAAACCGGAGGAAGGUGGGGAUGACGUCAAAUCAUCAUGCCCCUUAUGAUUUGGGCUACACACGUGCUACAAUGGACAAUACAAAGGGCAGCGAAACCGCGAGGUCAAGCAAAUCCCAUAAAGUUGUUCUCAGUUCGGAUUGUAGUCUGCAACUCGACUACAUGAAGCUGGAAUCGCUAGUAAUCGUAGAUCAGCAUGCUACGGUGAAUACGUUCCCGGGUCU